rnacentral:tRNA from 1 species
GCCGGUGUAGCUCAGCUGGCUAGAGCAGCUGAUUUGUAAUCAGCAGGUCGUGGGUUCGAGUCCCUCCCACAAGCU